rnacentral:rRNA from 1 species
GAUGAACGCUGGCGGCGUGCCUAAUACAUGCAAGUCGAGCGAACGGACGAGAAGCUUGCUUCUCUGAUGUUAGCGGCGGACGGGUGAGUAACACGUGGAUAACCUACCUAUAAGACUGGGAUAACUUCGGGAAACCGGAGCUAAUACCGGAUGAUAUUUUGAACCGCAUGGUUCAAAAGUGAAAGACGGUCUUGCUGUCACUUAUAGAUGGAUCCGCGCUGCAUUAGCUAGUUGGUAAGGUAACGGCUUACCAAGGCAACGAUGCAUGGCCGACCUGAGAGGGUGAUCGGCCACACUGGAACUGAGACACGGUCCAGACUCCUACGGGAGGCAGCAGUAGGGAAUCUUCCGCAAAGGGCGAAAGCCUGACGGAGCAACGCCGCGUGAGUGAUGAAGGUCUUCGGACCGUAAAACUCUGUUAUUAGGGAAGAACAUAUGUGUAAGUAACUGUGCACAUCUUGACGGUACCUAAUCAGAAAGCCACGGCUAACUACGUG